UACACCAGAUCCAAUCUCAAGACCGCAGCUGCCGCCCCCAAGCACCUCACCCCCGGCCCCCGCCGCCGCCCACAACUACCCAUCGCCACCUAUCGCCCUCCACGUUGACCACUGCCACCGACUACCCUCCUCCCCAACCACUGCUGCCAUCGCCCCCACCCACCGCACCCCGCCCAACCACCUCACAGCAGCACCGCCGAGCACCCAACUGACACGGACAACCACCGGCGCCGACCGGCCCGUCAUCGAGCAACUCCACCACCGACCAGCCUCCUCUGUCGGGCGCCUUCCAUUGCUACAUCGCGAGCUUCCUCCCCCGAGCAGGCCUCUCCCCGUACCUCGUAGUGGUGAGUUACAAGAUGGGAGAGGAUGCGGCAUAAGGAAGCCCUUGGUAUGUUCAGAUGAGCAAGGAUGGCUCCCCUUACCUUAGGAAAGUGGACCUCAAGAUGUAUUCUAGCCACGGCAGCCUCCAAUGGGGAUGAUACACCUUCAAGUUGAUGUAAGCACAAAAUCACGUUGGGAUGGCAACCUCCAUUAAUUUAUAUCAGCAUGAAUUAGAUAUCACCAAUGGAACCUUGCCUGCAGUUUCACAUUCUGAUUAAUUAUAAUUUAGUUGGAUACUAAUGCCACGUGAUCUUGUAGUUUAACUCUCUGUGUAUCUAUAAUUUAUAUCUUAUCAUUUUUCUGGAAUGAUUC